ACUCCUACGGGAGGCAGCAGUGGGGAAUUUUGGACAAUGGGCGCAAGCCUGAUCCAGCAAUGCCGCGUGCAGGAUGAAGGCCUUCGGGUUGUAAACUGCUUUUGUACGGAACGAAACGGUCGCUUUUAAUAAAGGUGGCUAAUGACGGUACCGUAAGAAUAAGCACCGGCUAACUACGUGCCAGCAGCCGCGGUAAUACGGAGGGUGCAAGCGU
rnacentral:rRNA from 1 species